rnacentral:sRNA from 1 species
UAACCAACGGCAGAAAAGUCGCCGGCGGU